UAAUACGUAGGCAGCGAGCGUUGUUCGGAGUUACUGGGCGUAAAGCGUGCGUAGGCGGCGGCCCAAGUCUGGUGUGAAAUCUCCCGGCUUAACCGGGAGGGUGCGCCGGAAACUGGGUUGCUGGAGUACCGGAGAGGCAGGCGGAAUUCCUGGUGUAGCGGUGAAAUGCGUAGAUAUCAGGAGGAACACCCGUGGUGUAGACGGCCUGCUGGACGGUCACUGACGCUGAGGCACGAAAGCGUGGGGAGCAAACAGGAUUAGAUACCCUGGUAGUCCACGCCCUAAACGAUGCAUACUUGGUGUGGGCAGUUCAGUCUGUCCGUGCCGAAGCUAACGCGAUAAGUAUGCCGCCUGGGGAGUACGGUCGCAAGGCUG
rnacentral:rRNA from 1 species